AAUGAACGCUGGCGGCGUGCCUAACACAUGCAAGUCGUACGAGAAAGGGGCUUCGGCCCUGAGUAGAGUGGCGCACGGGUGAGUAACGCGUGGGUAACCUGCCCUGUACACACGGAUAACAUACCGAAAGGUAUGCUAAUACGAGAUAAUAUACUUUUAUCGCAUGGUAGAAGUAUCAAAGCUCCGGCGGUACAGGAUGGACCCGCGUCUGAUUAGCUAGUUGGUAAGGUAACGGCUUACCAAGGCGACGAUCAGUAGCCGACCUGAGAGGGUGAUCGGCCACAUUGGAACUGAGACACGGUCCAAACUCCUACGGGAGGCAG
rnacentral:rRNA from 1 species